GACGAACGCUGGCGGCGUGCUUAACACAUGCAAGUCGAACGGUGAAGCGCCUUCCUUUUUGGUGGGUGUGGAUGAGUGGCGAACGGGUGAGUAACACGAGAGUAACCUGCCCCCUUCUUCUGGAUAACCGCAUGAAAGUGUGGCUAAUACGGGAUAUUCUGGGUCUGUCGCAUGAUGGGUCUGGGAAAGAUAUUGUUUCGGUGGGGGAUGGGCUCGCGGCCUAUCAGCUUGUUGGUGGGGUGAUGGCCUACCAAGGCGGUGACGGGUAGCCGGCCUGAGAGGGUGGACGGUCACACUGGGACUGAGACACGGCCCAGACUCCUACGGGAGGCAGCAGUGGGGAAUAUUGCACAAUGGGCGCAAGCCUGAUGCAGCGACGCCGCGUGAGGGAUGGAGGCCUUCGGGUUGUGAACCUCUUUCGCCAGUGAAGCAGGCCUGCCUCGUUUGUGGGUGGGUUGACGGUAGCUGGAUAAGAAGCGCCGGCUAACUACGUG
rnacentral:rRNA from 1 species